rnacentral:lncRNA from 1 species
UGAGGAUGUCGACGCAAAUGCUGCCGUUCGAGUUGAUGUUCAGAUGUGAGUACUCUAAAAGCUUAAACUAUUAGAGAAUGGUGUUUAAACAUUUUUAUACUCUCGAGACUUUUUAAUCGGCCCAUGACAUGGACUUGAAUUAAAUGUGAGGAAAUUAAUAUGCUAGGAGCCCGGCGUGAUUCGAACUCAGGACCUCCUUUUCUGAUACCAUGUGAAACAACUAUUGUAUUCUAAAAAUUUAAGCUGUUAGAGAACGGUGUUUAAAUUUUUUUAUAUUUAACAGGAUGGUACACCUAACAUGAUUUAGUGCAUAACCAUAUUACUACUACAUUGACGGCCGGAGCCUGAGAUAUCCGCCUUUUGCCGCAAGCGAUGGGAGAGCUCCAGAGUGUGGGUGCAGGGAUGGGAACAGGCAUGCAUGAAUUUAUCUAAUUAUAAAAAAUUCCACCUCAUCAUAAUUCAAAAUAAUUUUAUAUUUGUCUGAUAUAUAAAAUACUUUAUGUUAUAUUUGAAUAUGUAUUUUAGAAUUUUAUAUUUAAUGUACUAUAUUUUAAAAUAUCGUAUAGAGAAAUAAUUAUUUCGGACUCGUAUUCGGAUUUUGAAUUUUUGGUCGGAUUUGAAUUCGGUUAUGAAUUCUGUAUUUGGUAGUCGGAUUUUAAUUCGGAUUUUUAAAAACCCGGCCCAGAAUUUGAUAUGUCGAAAUUCCUAGUUGGGUGUGGGAAUUUAAUUGUGUGUAGGAGUUUUCUAGUUAAGUUCAUAGUUAGUUAAUUCGGAUUCGGCAAAACUUUGGUACCGAUAUAACACGUAUAAAAUUCGUUUUCUAAUUUAUAAAUUCUUUGAAAAAAUUGGCUUAAAAAACGGAUUCGUUAUAAAGCAUAAAAUAUAAGAUAUAAAAUAUAGGAUAAUUUAUAUUUAAAAAUAAAAAUUAUAAGUUUUUUAUUCAUAUUUUUAAUAAUUCGGAAAUAAUUCGCGAAUAAUUCGGCUAGCCCAAAAAUUCGCGAAUAAUUCUCUUUCUUUGGAAAAAAUUCGUAAACGGACUGUUUAAUUCGGAUUUUCAAUAAUUCGCGAAUAAUUUGCGAAUCUACUAAACAGUAAACUAGGAAGUUUAUUUCUUUUUGUAUAUCG